CCUGGGAGGCCUGGAAUCCGGGCAGUUUUUCAGGCCCAAUAGACCCCAUGACAUCACAUCUACUGCCAUGGCAACGGGCUGUGAGGUCACAGGCAGUGCUGCCUUUCAGGAGUGGGGAGAACAGGUGGGAGCUGGCAGGUAGGGCCAGCGGGGGAGCUGGGGCGUCCUCAGCCCCAGGACCCACGGCAGGUUAUUCCGGGCUCACUUGCUCCGGUUCCAGAAAUAGAACCCUAAGCAGAUGAAAGGAGGGGCUGGUAGCAUAAGGGAAGAGCAGGGAAGCGCCAUUUCCUGGGCACUUAGAGGGGGCGUGGCCGGGAUGGCACUUUACAGACCCCACAGCCCCAGGGGUGGGAGCGGGACCAUCACACAGGAUAAAAUGAGCUGAGGCAGCAGAGGCUCUCUGGAACCCUUCUGGCAGAUGCAGAAACUGAGCGUCCAGGGAGGCUGGCCAGCUCUACAUGAGCGCAGGUCUUCGCCUCAAAGCCUGUGUUUGUCCCCCACCCUUCGUGUUAAUUACGGCCAUCCUGGGAACGGGGAGCCACUGGGGCUGGGCAUCAGCACUGAGUGCAGGGGGCUGGAGAGAGGGUGUGGAACAAGCAAGGCUAGGCCCGGCCAGGGUAGGAGGGAGGCCAGCAGCCUGGUUCCCCCUGAAGUGUUUGAGUGAAGUCACUCCAGGGGCGACAUCCUCUCCUGGGCAGGCCUAGGCCACCAGAGAAACAGAACAGGCUGGGUGUGAUUAAAUGGAAUGUGAUGCCUGAUUUUCCCCGCACCCCCCAGGGAGGGGCCCGGGCAAGCCCACUCCUGUCCUCGGGCCGGCCCCAGUUCACCCCGAGGGACCCAGAGCACAGCUCCUGGCUGAGAGGGGGCAAGGGCAGGGGUGGCAUGCACACACCUGGCCAGGCCAGGGGGGAGUACUCCCCCCAACACACCUCCUACCCCCUGCUCCACCCUGGAUGCUAUUCUCCCCUCAGCCAGGGCGCUGGGAGUCCGCUCGGCCCUUCGUCCCUGCCCCUCUAGCCACUCCUGUCGAAAUCCUCUCUGCCCCCCACCAAGCACCUGUGCCAGCCUCUGGUCCACCCAGCCCUCCUCCCACAGCCCCCUCGCCACACCCCACAGCUGGCAGCAGACUCAGAUCCAGCUUUGGGUCACUUCCCCACUCACGGACCCAUAACGGCCCUACUGCUUGGCUCAUCAAGUUCAAGUUCCCCUGCCCAGCUUGUGAACUCCUCCCUCAUCUGGCCACACAUGCCGGGUUCACUCUGACUCCAUUCCUGCACUCAACCAGUUCCACCAGCAUGCCCAGCCAGGGCCACCAACCAAAAUGAGACAGGAUUGUCUGGCCCCACUUCCCCUCCCCCCCAACCCCACCCAGCAAGGGCAGACUGGCCAAAAAUAUUUACCCUGGAUUUGCCCUGGCUCCCAACGGUAACUCACACCAAGGCCCUACCCCCUCUCUGUCUCAGCUCUCCCUCCUCCUCCCCACCUCUCUUCCAUUUGCUCACAUCUUAAACUGGACCUGGAACAGGAGACAGACUUCCUCAACUACCACAGCACAACCUGACUGCUUCUUUCCCUGGCUCCCAAGUACCUCUGGUCAGACCCCCGCCCCCAGGCGGGCACUAAUUCAUUUCCACCUGAUAAAUCUCUCUCUCCCCCAGCCCCCACUAAACGUGGCUCCAGAGGGCAGGGCUCCUGAGGGCAAAGGCCUGACUUUGGCCCCUCCCAGUGGAGGUCCCAGGGGUGGUGGUCAGCACAUUAGUGGAUGCCUUGGCCUCCAGGAACCAUGUCCCUUCACAGCCCAGUCUAAGGGCAGGACCUCCACCAGGACUGCCACCAGGCACUCCUCAGAGCAGGGACCUGCCAUCAGCACCGGCCUCAUACCUAACAGAAUCUCCCAAGAUGGUCACUCAUGGCACACAGUGCUACAAGAUGAAAUUUCAUCAAGAGACUGGCGUCCAAACUGAAGUGACUCCUAGCCACUCUCCUUAACGGAGGGCAAGACGGCAGCACGGGGGCUGAGGGUUCCGCACACUUCUCCGGAACCGAUUAACAUCACAUCCUCUCCUCUUCCGUGAGGCGGCAUGGUGCCUUCUUCCCUCAGAUCCGUCCCUUGGGGAAGUCAUCUGAAAAUCUCAGGGCCACCACCUCACACCCACGAGGAUGGCUGCUAUCAAGAAAACAGAAUUAUUCGCAAUAAUGAAUGUUAAAACAUGGAAACACGGAGGAAGCUCAGAUGUCCGACGGGGGAACGGCUAAGCAAAAUGUGACGCACGUACAAUGGAACAUUAUUCAGCCUUGAAAAGGAAGGACAUUCUGCCAGCACAGCACGGCCUUGAGGACAUCCUGCGAAGUGAAACAAGUCAGUCACAAAAGGACACAUAUUACAUGAUUCCGCUGACAUGAGUCACUUGAGUGGUCAAAUUCACAGAGAUACAAAGCAGAAUGGUGACUGGCAGGGACUGGGGAAGCGGAGGGGGCGUUCUGUUUGAUGGGUAGAGUUUUGUCUUACAAGACGACAAGAGUUCCGGAGACAGAUGGGUGAUGGUUGUACAGGAGUGGAAUACCCACUUAACACCACUGCCUGCGCUCAAAAACGGUGAAGAUGGUGACUCUUACGCUCCGUGUGUUUUACCACAAUAAAGAAAAGAAAAGUCAAAAAAUAUUUUUUCAGGGCCUCACUGGACCAAACAGUGUUAAAGCCCUCUCAUUCCUGUGACUCCAUGCCACCCAACCCCACCCACCUUCUAGAAGGCCUGGCACUGUGGCAGAAAAGAACUUUACAGCCCCAGCAUUAAAACGGCACCUGGCACAAGGCGGGUGCUUGGGAAAUGUCUGUUGGUAGGAUGGAUGGACAGAAAGAUGGAGGGACAGACCCUCCUUUAAAUCUCAGAUCCUUUGGCAAACGGGCUACAUAGGUAGACUGGUGGUUGGUGCUGUUUAGAAAAUAAAAUCCCAGGGGCGCCUGGGUGGCUCAGUCA